rnacentral:rRNA from 1 species
UACGUAGGCAGCAAGCGUUGUUCGGAGUUACUGGGCGUAAAGAGUGCGUAGGCGGCCAACUAAGUCAGACGUGAAAUCCCUCAGCUUAACUGGGGAACUGCGUCUGAUACUGGAUGGCUUGAGUUCGGGAGAGGGAUGCGGAAUUCCAGGUGUAGCGGUGAAAUGCGUAGAUAUCUGGAGGAACACCGGUGGCGAAGGCGGCAUCCUGGACCGACACUGACGCUGAGGAGCGAAAGCCAGGGGAGCAAACGGG